CGAAGUCCAAACACGGAACGGGCACGCCACGACACGUACUACAAAAUGAAGCCGAGACGGAAGAACUCGCACGAGCACUGCUGCUUCGGCGCGACACGACGACGAUCGCGGCGCCAUGCAGCGGCGGCGACGAACAGGAAGAGCGCACCACCACCACCCCUUGUUCCUCCAGGCGGCGGCCGUCCUAGCCCACCUCCUCCUCGCCGCCGGCGCCGGUGACGCGGGCGCGCCGGCGAUCCUGGGCACGGUGUGCGGUAACACGAGGACGCCGAACCCGGAGGCCUUCGACGUCAGCUUCGUCACCACCCUGGAGAUGAUCUACCAGAACGUGACGCGCUCCGGGUUCGGCGCCGCCGGCUCCGGCACCGGCAACAACACCGUCUUUGGCCUCGGCCAGUGCCUCGCCUACCUCUCCUCGACCGACUGCCAGCUCUGCUACGCGCAGAGCCGCGUGAAGCUGCCCCACUGCCUCCCGGCCGACGGCGGCCGCAUCUACCUCGACGGCUGCUUCCUCCGCUACGGCGCCCGCAACUUCACCGCCGACUCCACCGACGCCGGCGACACCGCGGUGUGCGGCUCCAACGCCACCGGCGGCGGUGCGCCGGGGUUCGCGGCGGCGGCGGCGGAGCUGGUGCGGAACGUCACGGCUACCGCGCCGGGCGCGAGGGACUACUACUACGCGUCGUCGUCCGCGGAGUCCUCCGGGCGCGCGGCGCGGGCGUACGCGGCGGCGCAGUGCUGGAGGUCGCUCAACGCCAGCGCGUGCGCGGCGUGCGUGGCGAGCGCGCGCGACCGGGUGCUCCGCCAGUGCCUGCCCGGCGCGGCCGAGGGGUACGGCCUGAACGCCGGCUGCGUCGUCAGGUACUCGACGCGGCCGUUCUACCUGGCGGCGGACGCCGGCGGCGGUGGCGGCGGAUCGUCCACUCGGCACAUAGUUGUCAUCGUGAUCGCUUCGGUCUUCUCGGCACUGGCCGUCAUCGGCAUAGCAUUCGUCUGGACGAAAAUGAGGUCGAGAAGAGAUAAUCUCCAUGACGACAUGGACGGCUCCGGCGAGAUCAUCCGCGCCAUCGCCGCGUCGCACCUCAGCUUCAAGUACGAGGAGCUGCGCCGGGCGACCGACGAGUUCAACCAGAUCAACAAGCUCGGCCAAGGUGGCUACGGAUCAGUUUACAAGGGCGUGCUGCCAGACGGCCGGGAGGUGGCCGUGAAGCGGCUCUUCUUCAACACGCGGCAGUGGGCCGACCAAUUCUUCAACGAGGUGAAGCUCGUCAGCCAGGUGCAGCACAAGAACCUGGUGAAACUGCUGGGCUGCAGCGUCGAGGGCCCCGAGAGCCUCCUCGUCUACGAGUACCUCUGCAACACCAGCCUCGACCACUACCUGUUUGACGCGUUCAAGAAGAACGCCCUGGAUUGGGAGAGGAGGUUCGAGAUCGUCCUGGGCACGGCAGAGGGCCUUUCCUACCUGCACAAUGCUUCGGAGAUCAGGAUCAUACAUAGGGACAUCAAGGCCAGCAACAUACUGCUGGAUGAGAGGUUCAGGCCAAAGAUUGCCGACUUCGGCCUGGCGAGGAACUUCUUGGAAGAUCAGAGCCACCUCAGCACUGGUCUUGCAGGAACCUUUGGAUACAUGGCUCCAGAGUACAUCGUCCACGGGCAAUUGACAGAGAAGGCCGACAUCUACAGCUACGGCGUGCUAGUCCUCGAGAUCAUCACCGGUCGGAAGAACCACAACUCGGUGGCGUCAUCGGCAGAAGGCCUUUCACUCAUGGCACUGAUAUGGAAGCACUACAACGCAGGCACCCUGAUGGAACUCCUGGACCCAAACCUUCGCGAUCAGUGCUCGGAGGAGGAAGCUCUGCAAGUGUUCCACAUUGGGUUACUAUGCGCGCAGGCGUCGCCGAACCUCAGGCCGCCGAUGUGGAAGGUGGUCGAGAUGCUGAGCGGCAGGGCAAAGGUGCUUCCCCGGCCCACCCAGCCUCCGUUCAUCGACGUGAAGGGGUCGAACGCGAAGAGCGAUAGCUCAGGGUCGACGUCUCUUCUGACGAAUUCGGACAGGUCGCCGUUCUCGCUGAACCAGCUAUCAGUGAGUGGGGUGGAGGCCAGGGAUCCAGUAUCACCUCACAAGAACCCACAGAUUGGAGCACACCUGCCAUCAUCUCUCAGCAACAAAGCAAUUGAAAGUCAGACAACUCAUACGCCCAUACUGACUGAGAGUUGGAAGAAUUGAUCGGGAUGGGGACUGGCAACACGAGAGCUCAAACAGCUGUGAAGCCUAAGACUUCCAGGUCUGAUCAGAGAUUCAGAGUUGCUGCUGCUGCUGCCUGGAACGCUGCUGAAUUUGGUGGCUGCGUGAUCUGGUCCGGUCGCUGUCGAUUUGUUCAUGCAAGUUUUGUCAAAACUUACUGCUGAGGAGGAGUUAAUGGGCCAGCAGCUAGCCAAAUGGCCUGACUGGUGGAAGGAUAGAAUAUUGAUGAGCAUGGGUAAGUGUUCGCCGCCGCCCAGGACGGAGACGGUUGAACGACCAGCAUCAGUGCUCGUUGAAACUGAAGACAGGACGCUUGCAGCCGGCGUGCUGCUUCACGCCUUCUCGCUGUUUUUUUCCCGAUGCACAGUGCAUAUCUAGAGGACUGGCAACAAAACACGUUCUUAGGGAAAUGGUAUCCACACGCAGCAACCGUGUUGUAUGGUCUAAGCAAAAUUUCAAGAGGAGGACACUGUCAACUUCGCGUGCACAUCGAUGCCUGAAAUUGAUUGGAACUCGGAGAACACUCGGGUGCUUUGUACGUUGUUUGCUGAACAAGUUGGAAAAGAAAAUCGGCCAAACAUACACUUGAAUGCACUUGUUUAUGCUGAGGUUGAGAAAGGGUUCAAAGAUAGACUGGAAUUGUGGCUACCAAGGUUCAGAUCAAGAACAAAUAGGACAAGUUGAAGGAAGAUUUUAAGGCAUGGAAGAAACUAAUGCUGAGGCAAACAGGGACUGGUUGGGACCCUAUAAACAAGACUAUUGCUAUGGAUGGUGAAUGCUAGAAAAAAGCUAGAGCUACAUUCCGGUUGGUGGAAAGUUUAAAAAGAAGGUCCUUGAGAAUGAAGAUGAAUUAGCCAAGUGCUUUGCUGACAUCACUACUAUUGGUAUUGAUCAUUGGUCUCCUCAUGUUGUGAAUGUUGAAGCAAAAGAAAAUGUUGAUGAGACACAAGAUGAGGCAACCAAUUUUGAGCCACAAGAUGAUGAUUUCGUUCCUGAAACACAAGAUGAGGAUAUUUGUAUUUCUCCUCCACCUACGAGUGGCAAGAGAUUGGCAAGGUCUGUUGAAAGAAGUGGCAAGAAGGCGAAGUCUGGGAGUGCACUUCUAAUUCAAGAAGCAGUAACAAGUAUGGCAAGUUCAGUCAAUGAAUAUGUUUCGAAGAGACAUGGAAAAUACUUUGUUGAUGAAGUGAUGGGGUUGUGAUUGCUUGUGGGACCGGCUAUGAUAGCAAUGAAUAUUACAUUGCGUCUGAACUAUUUGUGAAGAAGGAGCAAAGGGAGAUGUUCAUGACCAUGCCUACCAAUGAGAUUAGGUUCAAUUGGCUUAGGAGGAAAUACAAUGACAAAAAUAAAAGUAGAAAUGGCAAUGAGACUGAUGUCAUUUAUGUAUGCCACAUUUUAUUUUUGUCACAUGUAUGCCACAUUUUAUUUUUGUCACAUGUAUGCUACAUUUUAUUUUUGUGCACUUUAUUUAUGUAUGGUAGUUGUAUCUUACAUUUCAUUUAUGUAAAUGUUCAUAGAUGUCUUCAAGU